rnacentral:rRNA from 1 species
AGUGAACGCUGGCGGUAGGCCUAACACAUGCAAGUCGAACGGCAGCACAGUAAGAGCUUGCUCUUACGGGUGGCGAGUGGCGGACGGGUGAGGAAUACAUCGGAAUCUACUUUUUCGUGGGGGAUAACGUAGGGAAACUUACGCUAAUACCGCAUACGACCUACGGGUGAAAGCAGGGGAUCUUCGGACCUUGCGCGAUUGAAUGAGCCGAUGUCGGAUUAGCUAGUUGGCGGGGUAAAGGCCCACCAAGGCGACGAUCCGUAGCUGGUCUGAGAGGAUGAUCAGCCCCACUGGAACUGGGACACGGUCCAGACUCCUACGGGAGGCAGCAGGGGGGAAUAUUGGACAAUGGGCGCAAGCCUGCUCCAGCCAUACCGCGUGGGUGAAGAGGGCCUUCGGGUUGUAAAGCCCUUUUGUUGGGAAAGAAAAGCAGCAGGUUAAUACCCCGCUGUUCUGACGGUACCCAAAGAAUAAGUACCGGCUAACUUCGU